rnacentral:lncRNA from 1 species
UCCUGGAAAAUUAUAACAAAUAUACAAGAAAGUUUCAGAAUCUAACCGUCAGUCAAACAUUAAUCUAAAGCUAACAGAUUGGUGCACAUGUAGCAUGAGAAUUGAAGGCUUAAACUGAUGGUCCAUUCUAUUGCAGAAUAGAAGACGGUGAAUGGCUUUGAAAGGAGAUUAGACAAUCUUAAUUUCUUUGAUACCCGAGAAAUCCCUGAGGGUCAGUGACGUAGGGUUUGAAGCUCGGUGGUUAAUGGGCCUGCCCCUUUAUCCUUCUCUACUUAAAUAUCAGGCUUUUGUUUGCAGCAAGGUUAGAACCUGCGAUGUGCGCCUAACCCAUAUCACCUGUUGCACUUCUCCACUAGACCAAAGCCCCCGGGGCAAGGGAUAAGACAAUAUUUGCUUAGGCUACAAUGAUCCAUUCUCGGACAUACUGGGAUACCUUAACAUGGUCUCAUGGAAGCCCUUGAUGAGUUUCACAAUAAUGGGGGUUAUGAAAGAGCAUCCCCUCUGCUUCGGUCUUCAAAUUUCUUCAUUCAGGAAGUCCAAUGAGUUCAAGACCAUUUUCUUCGCGGAAAAUUUAUACACUUGAAUUCCCGCUACUUUCACAUUGUUCUUUUGCAAAGAAUUGUAAGAGAGAUCAUUCAGCAUCUUGGGUGCAGCAGUUGUCCCGCAUUCUAAGCUUGUCCUUUGUUUGCAGCAAGGUUAGAACCUGCGAUGUGCGCCUAACCCAUAUCACCUGUUGCACUUCUCCACUAGACCAAAGCCCCCGGGGCAAGGGAUAAGACAAUAUUUGCNNNNNNN